rnacentral:rRNA from 1 species
UACGUAGGGCGCAAGCGUUGUCCGGAAUCAUUGGGCGUAAAGAGCGUGUAGGCGGCCCGAUUAGUCCGCUGUGAAAGUCCAGGGCUCAACCCUGGAAUGCCGGUGGAUACUGUCGGGCUAGAGUCCGGAAGGGGCGAGUGGAAUUCCUGGUGUAGCGGUGAAAUGCGCAGAUAUCAGGAGGAACACCAAUGGCGAAGGCAGCUCGCUGGGACGUGACUGACGCUGAGACGCGAAAGCGUGGGGAGCAAACAGG